rnacentral:rRNA from 1 species
GUAUAAUGGGUCAACGACUUACAUUCAGUAGCGAGCUUAACCGGAUAGGGGAGGCGUAGGGAAACCGAGUCUUAAUAGGGCGAUGAGUUGCUGGGUGUAGACCCGAAACCGAGUGAUCUAUCCAUGGCCAGGUUGAAGGUGCCGUAACAGGUACUGGAGGACCGAACCCACGCAUGUUGCAAAAUGCGGGGAUGAGCUGUGGGUAGGGGUGAAAGGCUAAACAAACUCGGAGAUAGCUGGUUCUCCCCGAAAACUAUUUAGGUAGUGCCUCGAGCAAGACACUGAUGGGGGUAAAGCACUGUUAUGGCUAGGGGGUUAUUGCAACUUACCAACCCAUGGCAAACUCAGAAUACCAUCAAGUGGUUCCUCGGGAGACAGACAGCGGGUGCUAACGUCCGUUGUCAAGAGGGAAACAACCCAGACCGCCGGCUAAGGUCCCAAAUGAUAGAUUAAGUGGUAAACGAAGUGGGAAGGCACAGACAGCCAGGAUGUUGGCUUAGAAGCAGCCAUCAUUUAAAGAAAGCGUAAUAGCUCACUGGUCGAGUCGUCCUGCGCGGAAGAUGUAACGGGGCUCAAAUCUAUAACCGAAGCUGCGGAUGCCGGUUUACCGGCAUGGUAGGGGAGCGUUCUGUAGGCUGAUGAAGGUGCAUU